rnacentral:rRNA from 1 species
UUCCGGUUGAUCCUGCCGGAGGCCAUUGCUAUCGGAGUCCGAUUUAGCCAUGCUAGUCGUGCGAGUUCAGACUCGCGGCACCGAGCUUAGUAACACGUGGCCAAACUACCCUNCAGAGACGGAUACCCUCGGGAAACUGAGGUUAANCCGUCAUACCGAUCUCAGGCUUGAAUCGCAGAGAUCACAAAACGCCCCGGCGCUGUAGGAUGUGGCUGCGGUUGAUUAGGUAGACGGUGGGGUAACGGCCCACCGUGCCCAUAAUCAGUACAGGUUGUGAGAGCAAGAACCUGGAGACGGAAUCUGAGACAAGAUUCCGGGCCCUACGGGGCGCAGCAGGCGCGAAACCUUUACACUGCACGCACGUGCGAUAAGGGGACUCCGAGUGCGAGGGCAUAUCGUCCUCGCUUUCGUGUACCGUAGGGUGGUACACCAACAAGGGCUGGGCAAGACCGGUGCCAGCCGCCGCGGUAAUACCGGCAGCCCGAGUGAUGGCCGAUCUUAUUGGGCCUAAAGCGUCCGUAGCUGGCUGCGCAAGUCCGUCGGGAAAUCCACUCGCCCAACGAGUGGGCGUCCGACGGAAACUGCACANCUUGGGACCGGAAGGCUCGAAGGGUACGUUCGGGGUAGGAGUGAAAUCCNAUAAUCCCGCACGGACCACCGAUGGCGAAAGCACUUCGAGAAAACGGAUCCGACAGUGAGGGACGAAAGCCAAGGUCUCCAACCGGAUUAGAUACCCGGGUAGUCNUGGCCGUAAACAAUGUUCGCUAGGUAUGAC